ACUCCUACGGGAGGCAGCAGUGGGGAAUAUUGCACAAUGGGCGCAAGCCUGAUGCAGCCAUGCCGCGUGUAUGAAGAAGGCCUUCGGGUUGUAAAGUACUUUCAGCAGUGAGGAAGGUGGAUAUGUUAAUAGCAUAUUCAUUUGACGUUAGCUGCAGAAGAAGCACCGGCUAACUCCGUGCCAGCAGCCGCGGUAAUACGGAGGGUGCGAGCGUUAAUCGGAAUUACUGGGCGUAAAGCGCAUGCAGGUGGUUUGUUAAGUCAGAUGUGAAAGCCCGGGGGCUCAACCUCGGAAUUGCAUUUGAAACUGGCAAACUAGAGUACUGUAGAGGGGGGUAGAAUUUCAGGUGUAGCGGUGAAUGCGUAGAGAUCUGAAGGAUACCGGUGGCGAAGGCGGCCCCCUGGACAGAUACUGACACUCAGAUGCGAAAGCGUGGGGAGCAAACAGGAUUAGAUACCCUGGUAGGCUCU
rnacentral:rRNA from 1 species